AUCGGAUUUGGGAGAAGGGGAGGAUAAAUCACGGCAGCAGCUUUACGGUCCCGGAGGAGAGGCGAGCCGCAGACAGGCACACCCCGGCCGGCGAUAAAAACCGCCGCUGAAAGCCCACGGAGCAAUUUCCCGGGACCCCGAGCGACGCCAUUACAGGAAUGUAAUUUUGCCCGGAUGAGGCCCCGAGUUUAAUUAUCCUCGCGGAGGAAUUUCAAUGCGGCCAAUCCAUCUUGCAGGCGGGCGGCAGAGGGAUUUAUAUGGGCCCGUUAUUUCACACCGAUCCUCCAUCUGCAUUUUUAUGGCCCUGAGCUCCUGAAAGGGAGGGGAAGGAGUGGGGAGAAAUAGGAGAAGCGGGCGAGAAGAGGAGGGUGGUAGACUGCCUGUCUUUCCUAAAUUCGCAUUUCCAGCUCCAUCAGGAUUCUCACAGGUUCCUCUGAAAUCCCCAAAUCUCCAGUUUUAGUUGUUGAUUGCGCCCCGAGCGGGCAGGUACGUGGGAAAUGGAACUGGGAUCUUUGGGAAUCAAUCAACAGGUAUUUAUCAAGUACCAAGUGGUGCCAGGCACUGUGGAGAUGCUGUUAGGAGAAAGACAGGCUAGCAAAGACACAAGUUUAUCCCCUGAGGUCUCCAGACAUCUCCAUUCCCACCAAAACGGAAUUCUUUUAAGCUGUCAGCUUCACAUCCUCAGUGGCAGAGAAAGUCCACAGUUCUUAGGAGCCACCACCCCCAAACGGCUGUUGCAGCUGUUGCGACAAUUUAGACACUCAGAUAUGGCUAACAAUCCCAGAGGAGGAUCAGAGAAGGGGCCUGGGAGGAAGCUAAAGCUGGCUCUUUCCAAAAGUUGUUACAGCCUGCGAUGUUUAACACUCCCUUGCCCUCAUAGAAUAAUGGGUUCUGCGUUCAGACAAAUCUGGGUUCCCAAAUUGCUGUGUGAUCUUGAGCUAGCUGUUUAACCCCCUCUAAAUCUAUUUCCUCCUAUGUAAAUUGAGAAGAAUAAUAGUACUUAUCACACAGCCAAUAUUGGGAUAAUACAUAUGAAGCUUUUAGCAAGGUACUUGGUACCCAGUAAGAGUUCAGUAAUUGCUAGCAUUAAAAUCAUCAUCGUCACCACCACCACCACCACCACCACCAUCACCACCAUCAUCACCAUCAUCAUCACUGCUUCUAUAGUUAAGGGCAUUGCAACUCAAUUCUGCACUGC
rnacentral:sRNA from 1 species